rnacentral:rRNA from 1 species
UACGGGGGGAGCAAGCGUUGUUCGGAUUUACUGGGCGUAAAGGGCGCGUAGGCGGCCUCUGCAAGUCGACUGUGAAAUCUCCGGGCUUAACCCGGAACGGUCAGCCGAUACUGCAGGGCUAGAGUGCAGAAGGGGCAACUGGAAUUCCCGGUGUAGCGGUGGAAUGCGUAGAGAUCGGGAAGAACACCAGUGGCGAAGGCGGCUCACUGGUCCAUUACUGACGCUGAGGUGCGAAAGCUAGGGGAGCAAACGGG